UACGGGGGGAGCAAGCGUUGUUCGGAUUUACUGGGCGUAAAGGGCGCGUAGGCGGCCUCCGCAAGUCAGUUGUGAAAUCUCCGAGCUUAACUCGGAAAGGUCAACUGAUACUGCGGGGCUAGAGUGCGGAAGGGGCAACUGGAAUUCUUGGUGUAGCGGUGAAAUGCGUAGAUAUCAAGAGGAACACCUGCGGCGAAGGCGGGUUGCUGGGCCAACACUGACGCUGAGACGCGAAAGCUAGGGGAGCAAACGGG
rnacentral:rRNA from 1 species